rnacentral:tRNA from 1 species
GGUGGUACAGCUCAAGCGGUAGAGCACAUGCUUAGCAUGCACGAGGUCCUGGGUUCAAUCCUUGGUACCUCCU